GACAAACGCUGGCGGCGUGCCUAACACGUGCAAGUCGUACGAGAAAGGGUCCUUCGGGGCCUGAGUAAAGUGGCGCACGGGUGAGUAACGCGUGGAUAAUCUGCCCUUCAGUUGGGAAUAACUCAUCGAAAGGUGGGCUAAUACCGAAUAAUGCUGUGAGACCUCGGUUGAUCAGCCAAAGAGAGCCUCUGCUUGCAAGCCCUCGCUGAAGGAUGAGUCCGCGUACCAUUAGCUAGUUGGUAGGGUAAUGGCCUACCAAGGCGACGAUGGUUAGCUGGUCUGAGAGGAUGAUCAGCCACACUGGAACUGAGACACGGUCCAGACUCCUACGGGAGGCAGCAGUGAGGAAUCUUGCGCAAUGGGGGCAACCCUGACGCAGCAACGCCGCGUGAGUGAGGAAGGUCUUCGGAUCGUAAAGCUCUGUCGGAUGGAAAGAACCGCAUAGGGGUAAACAGCCCCUGUGUCUGACGGUACCAUCAAAGGAAGCACCGGCUAACUCCGUGCCAGCAGCCGCCGUAACAC
rnacentral:rRNA from 1 species